rnacentral:rRNA from 1 species
ACUCAAAUGAAUUGACGGGGGCCCGCACAAGCGGUGGAGCAUGUGGUUCAAUUCGAAGCAACGCGCAGAACCUUACCAGCCCUUGACAUGGCAGGACGGUGUCCGGAGACGGGCUCCUUCCCUUCGGGGACCUGCACACAGGUGCUGCAUGGCUGUCGUCAGCUCGUGUCGUGAGAUGUUGGGUUAAGUCCCGCAACGAGCGCAACCCUUGCCCUUAGUUGCCAUCAUUAAGUUGGGCACUCUAGGGGGACUGCCGGUGAUAAGCCGCGAGGAAGGUGGGGAUGACGUCAAGUCCUCAUGGCCCUUACGGGCUGGGCUACACACGUGCUACAAUGGCGGUGACAGAGGGAUGCUACUUCGCAAGAAGGCGCCAAUCCCUAAAAGCCGUCUCAGUUCGGAUCGUCCUCUGCAACUCGAGGGCGUGAAGUUGGAAUCGCUAGUAAUCGCAGAUCAGCACGCUGCGGUGAAUACGUUCCCGGGCCUUGCACACACCGCCCGU